AUGGACCUGCUUGUAAUUGUUGUGUGAGCUCAGUUUAUUCUGGAAGCUUAGACCAUGAGGAGGACAAGGAUGACAUCAGAUUAUUUACUGAUUGAUGUUGGAGAUAUUGAUCUAUAUUCUCUAAACUCUGUUGAUGAUAUCUGAUCUGAUAUGGAUUUCAGAGAACCCAUGUUUAACUAGAUUGUAGGCAUAGAUUAAUGGAACUGAAUCUAGUCUAAGAUUGAAUGAACUCAGAAUCAGAUCCAUACUCAAAGGAAAUUACACACAUCUGGGCUGAAUCAGAAGUCUGUCCUCCCUGUUUCGGAAGAUUCCAUAGUCAUGGAGUAUGUGAUAUGUGGUGUCUAAGCUCCAUGCGGAAGGUACAGUGACAAGAGACACUGUGUUUUGUGAAUCAUAUGAAGGCCGCCUUGUCCUGAUAAUAGAGCUAUAUGGAUUGCACGUGGUAUUCUCUCUCCUGCUUCUUCUAUUAUUAUUGUUUGUGUGCUAUGUUGCUGUAAGUCACUGCACAAAAGCUAACAUGAGGUAUAGCUCCUGUGUCUCGUCAAGCAACACAACAGGGAUUGUCAGCCUUCAACUGGUUGACAACCAUGGCCUCCCACCAGCAACUGCGAGUUAGCAGCACAUUUGCUCCUUGACAUAUUAAUAUAUGAAUCAUUCUUCUAUGAGCGCAGGUACAGGUACCAAAGAACCAUUGAGCUUCCGCAUCUCAUGUGGCUCCACAAGCCCAACCUCACCGCAACAUGGGAUGAGAAGAGUUUUUAAUACAAUCCGGAAAAUUAUCCUCAUGUUCAGCUGGGGAGUGGUGUGAUUCCAGUGGAAAGCAAAAUAACCAAGAAUGCAUUUGUCCAGCUCCUCGACAAGCUUCACAUACAGCGAUUCAUGGUCUGGGUCGUUUGCAAAGAAGGCAAAUAAAUUGUCCUCGCACUCCUUGGUUCUCCUCAGGUAAUCAUGUGCCAUCUUGCACAGGUUAGGACACUCAUUUACGUCCUCGAUCCCCAUCUGCCUAGCUGCAAUUACACCAUCAGAACAUGUCAUCCCUUGGAAGAGACAAUAAACGAUGCAGUAAACAAAAUGCAAAAUGUGGAGGAGGACCAGGUGAAAAGCUUUUCAAACAGGUACAAUGCAUGGACGUGGGUCCGUCGAAUAUGAACCAGUCAUGGUUUUCAUUUUAUCAGCAGUUCUGUUUCCCUGUCAUUUUUCUAGGAUGGGAUGGGAUUCAGGUUCUCGUCGGCUUAAGGGAGGAAAAUAUUACAAUGGGUAUCUUAAGAUCAUAAGAUUUCAGUAUCAUACUGUGUUAUGGAGUUUUCUUAAUGCGAAGAUAUGUUAUUCAAAGCUGCUCCACCCGCCCGGACUCGGCCAGCACAAGCACCGGCUGCGGAUCCCUCAUCUGCGGCUACCUCCUCCGUCGCCAGUAGCGCAGCGCUGCAGAGAUGGUACCGGCAGUUGGGAUGACAAUGAGCUAGAGGACAGGUUUGGAGCUCCCAUCUGAUAGGUGGAGCCGGAGGUGAUUUAGUUAGAGAAGUUUCAACGAGAAAGAAAGCAUCAGGGAGAGGUCAAGAGGAAAGGAGAUCCACAAGACUGGUCAAGCUAAUGAGGGGAUGCUUGCCUUUGGGAAUGGUGGCCUGAGGAUAACAUGGAGCUUAAGAUCCGAACCUGUAGGAGACGGUGUUGAAUGUGUAACAGAAAAAAACGGGUGGUGGGAGCAUGCAAAAUGAGAAUAGCUUUUGAGGUCAGCGCUGCAUCAUAAGAUGAAAUAAAAGAGGAAAGGAUAAAGAUUGUUUAUUGGACUGCUACCCCAUGAUCAGAUCAUCGAAGAGAGGUUGAGACGGUCAAGCCUUGAUUGGUGGCAUAGAUUGGCUGAAAUGCCAACUUAUGGUGUUGUGAGCAGCAGCCGCGUCACAAUCUUCCAGAAUGAGUUGUCCCUCCGAAGGUGGCACUGAAGAGUUGUGGAUUUGGGGUUGUGAGGACACCCUUGAAACUGUCGUCAUGCUAUGGUAAGUGUGACUCUCAAGUUAUCACCAUGACUUUCUCUUUGUUGGUCUCACGAAUAAAUAAUUGUCUAGCGGAACAAAGUUAUAAAUUUGUAACAUAACAUAUGAAUGUUCUCUCACACGUUUAGAUCAUCCACUUGUACUCGAGAUUCUGCUUAGAGUUUUAAGUGUUUUAUUAAGA